CAGGUCUGUCGAGCUCCCCAGGACGGGCGGAAUGUGCCAGCGAGGAGCAGCCGCAGUGGCCCCGGCGGUACCACAGGGUGGGGGACAGGAGAAGGAUCCGUGGUACCUGGAGGAGGUCGCCCGUCGUUUAUGUUGAAGGCUGUUGCAAAUAUACCAAAGGGAAACGCCCCAAUUCCAAAUGACAUCUGGAAGCCACCAUCACCAAACCCAAAGCCCUGGAAUCCCUGCAGAGAACAAAGAACAGAAGACAAAAAAGGUCAUGCUCGCUGCCAUCGUGCUGAAGAACACUGUGGUCUGUCCUACCGCCUACUCCCACAUCUACUCCAUCUGCCAACUGCUGUUUACAUUCACCCUAUGUAAUCUCCUCAACAAAACCACAGAUGCCUCUUCAA